rnacentral:lncRNA from 1 species
GCCUAUGUAAGAAAUGCAAAAAGAAAAUGCUUUUUAAGUAUUCCCUUUUACCCUAAGAUGACCCAGAUGCAAUUCUAGAAUCAUAUACGAAAUAUAACAUCUGGAAAGCGCAGUUACACUGGCACCAAUAACAAGUACCAAAUACACUACCAAUACAAAUUAAUCCCUUAAAAACUUGAAGAAAAAGUACUCAAUUCAAGCAACUCAAGCAGACAUUCAGAACAACUAAUACGUAAAGUAUACCAAUAUAAACAUAUGCAUAAUCCAGAAUUUGAAUUGGCAGUACCAGAGUUGGAGUCGGCGAGCCCGCUGAGCUUUACAGGUUCCUGUGAGGCGGGCUCCAAAAUAAGAGUUCGGCAACUUUGAUACUGACACCCAUGAGAAUCAUCAGGCAACUGAGGAUUUGAAUAGUGUGAUUUUAAGAAUCCAAAUACAAAGUGUUGAUUGAGAUUCUUCUUUCUGCACAUGGUAAGGACGACGUUUUGGCCCAUCGACCUUGUUAUGGCCCUUAAUGAUAGCAUUUUCACUUGAAAAAUAGGAAGCGCAACAAACAGCAUAUCGGAUAUUUGUGUGCAAGGCGUGAGGCCGAGGAAACGACCAUCCACGGUCCACCAACGAACCACUGCAUGAGAUAGAACAAACGACGUUAACAGGUUGGGAAGCCACAGAGCGGGGAGCACAGCCAGGUGCUCCCAAUCAUUGGGUCAGUCGCAAGCAGACAGGGAAGAUUGGGGAUUUAGCUGCGUUGGGUUGCUUUUUUAUUAUCAUUGUUAUUUGAAUUGGCUGCUGCGUUGAUCGGGCUUCGUCCCCAAGUAGCCUGAAAUUGAAAAGGCAGUGAUCCAUCCAUGGUCCUCUAGCAACGGUCAGGUAGAUAAACUCUACCCUGUGUUGGCUUAGAAACAGUGCAUUUAAAAAUUUUAUUUUGAUGAUUAAAAAGGGAUAGAUUAGAGAUGAAUAUUUAUUAAAAUUUAUUGAAAAAUUUUAAGUAUAUUCAUGAAUUUCUUUUUAGGAGCUAAAAAUAGAAUGAGAUAUUGUGGUGUUUAUUAAACUUUAUUUAAUUUUUUUAGAAUAUACUUAUCAUUUUUUGCAUCUGCGCGUCCUUACUUAGUAUAUUCAUGAAUUUUGAUAUACAUGUGUACACAUAGUAAAGAAAAACAAGUGAAAUAAAGCAACUAUUGUAUAUUGAAUAGGCUCGAAGCUAAAGCGAGAACAAAUAAGGGCCGAGGCAUAAAGUGAUGUUUGGCUGACAACCAACCGAUUGCACGCAUGUAAGAGCAACUGAGAGACCAAGGGAGAGACUACAUAUAGCACUGGAUGGAGGUGAAGGAAGAUAUGAGACUAAAAGUAAGAGGUGGAGUCGUGGAGCAUUAGAGAAAAUGAAAGA